GGCGGCUAACUGGGCGUGCGGCCAGGUGUUACUUUGUGUGGACCCCGGGGAGUGGCGCCUCACCCUGGGGAUAACUCACCUGCUGACCUCUGGAGUCGAUAUAGGUGACCCAGUGUGAUAAACCAGGUCGCCACAGUUGCAGCUUAUACUGACGAGCAAACUCCCUGCCCUGGCCGUUCCCGAAGCGCCCCUGCACCUCUACCUUCGUCACUAGAUGCGGCGCUCCUAGAUUCACCUCCAGGUGAGCAGGACAGGUAUUCCCGCACGUCCAUCACCUCACAGAUAGCGGAAGGACCUGAGCACAACACUGAAGGGAAGGACCUAUAUAAGCAAUAAAAAAAAAAAAAAAGAAAAAAAAUGCAGGAAGCGGUCACAAGAAGGGUCGCCGGAGUAACUAACUGUGACUGGAAAUGAAAGCAGAAAUAUGUGGCACCACCAGGAGAGUGAAGGGAGGCGAGGUGGCACACACAGACUGACAGACGCCUGACCGAGUUGAAGGCGAUGAGGUGGCUGGUCAGGACGCCAAGUUCACUUUUCAGACAGACUUCGGAGAUGAGCGGCAGCAGCGGCAUGGGUGAGUGGAGGCGGGUGGUGGUGGCGGCGGAGGCAGGAGGCAGUGUGUGUGUGUCAAGUGUGUCCCCAAGCAGGACCAUUGGCGGUUCGGACUCGCCAAGAAACCUGUUCGGAGUCACGGUGAAGGGGCAGCUGCAGUGUGGCAAGCUUGUUGAUCUACUGGAGGGGCCUGAAUGAAGUGGUGGAGGUGGAUUACUUAAAGAACAUCCCUCCACACACCCCCUAAAGAUUCCCUCCACAUUGGUUAUUAGAACACGAUCUCAAGAAAAUCAAGUUGUGUGGCUGGUUUAGUUCCUUGAUGCGGCGUCACCAGGUGUUCCCCGUGUGUACUGCCAACAUGCUGUAUCCUACUUAAAGUCAGCUGAAUGUAAUCCUCCAGACUUGGUAUCUUCUGUACAGUUUAGUUCAAUAAUUGUGUUCACUUGAUGGCAUUUUUACCUCUCACGAUCCCUUCAGGAAUGUAUCUCUCACAUAAUUUGAGAAAUCCCUGUAUUAGUCUGUUUCAACUUUACCAGAUUGUCUACACUGGAACUCCCUGCCUGCUUCUGUGUUUCUAUCUUCCUAUGACCUAAACUCAUUUAAGAGGGAGGAAGGUUUCAAGACAUUUAUUCCAUUCUUUUGGCUAAUUCUCUCUUUCUUGGAGCUGCUUGGGGCUGGCAUCUAAAUGAGCAUUUUUAAAAUAUUUUUUUUACCCUUGGCUAAAUUUCCCAUCUUACAUAAAAAAAAAAAAAAAAAAAAAAUAAUGAUAAUAAAUCUCACCCUAACCUGGCCUUGUCUCACCCUACCUAUU
rnacentral:lncRNA from 1 species